AUUGAACGCUGCGGCAGGCUUAACACAUGCAAGUCGAGCGAGCGGCGGUCGGGUGAGUAAUGCUUAGGAAUCUGCCUAUUAGUGGGGGUCAACCACUUGAAAGGGAUGCUAACACCGCAUACUAAUAGACGAGCCUAAGUCGGUUUAGCUAGUUGGUGGGGUAAAGGCCUACCAAGGCGACGAUCUGUAUCGGGUCCGUGAGGAGGAGCCGCCAAACGGGGACUGAGACACGGCACAGACUCCUACGGGAGGCAGCAGUGGGGAAGAUUGGACAAUGGGGGGAACCCGGAACCAGCCAUGCCGCGUGUGUGAAGAAGGCCUUAUGGUUGUAAAGCACUUUAAGCGAGGAGGCGUUACUCGCAGAAUAAGCACCGGCUAACUCUGUGCCAGCAGCCGCGGUAAUAC
rnacentral:rRNA from 1 species